ensembl:lncRNA
CUAACAUCUGCAUUCACUUCUACUCAGUGAGCAAUACACAUAUUAUUAAAGUUAUAUGAAAUUAUGAACUUCUUUACCUUUUGUGACACUAAUUCUGUCAGAAAACAGUGGAACAUUUAGAUCAACAAUUUAAUUCUGAAAUCCUAAUCUUUGAAAAGCAACACUGUUAAAUCAUUGAAAAGAUUUAAUUGUGCAUGUCAAUACAAAUGUGACCUAGGGGUUUGACUGUCUGGUUAUAGCUACAUGGGUUUCUUUUAGCUUGCAGGUCUUUCACAGAAGAACAAAAAACACCCCCGAAGGCUCAAGAUUUCUGAUGGUCAGUGCAACCUCACACACUAAGUUCGUCUAACCAUCAGAUUUCAAACAAUUAAAACACAGUAAUAAUAAUAAUCAAAGUGUUUUUAUUGAGUUUUCAGAAAGCAUAUCAUUCAUACAGAAAAGCUCGAACUCAAGUCCUACCACACAGUGUAAGACAAAACUAUACCCAGACAGAGGAAGAAAAGAAAAGGGGGAAGAAGAAAAAAAAAGAAAAGAAAAAAAGAAAAAAAAGAAAGAAAAAAAAAAGGGGGGGGGGGGUAAUUGCCAGUUAUGGAGUGGAAGGAAAAUUAAAACACAGUAAGUUAUUGUUUUGUAUGUGUCAUGAUGAUAGAUUCAUUUACGGGUAUCACAAUGCUCAUAUCUGAAAGUAAACUGUGAUAUAUAUCCCCAACUAAGGUUACUACUAAAUGAAGGAUCUGUCACGGAGCAGUCGUAGUGUGCUGUGGAGCAGGCAGGAUGGAGGACGCACACACAGGACUCGUAACCAAGAGGUUAACUUAAAGUGCAGUUUAUUCACCGGGAUGACUCAUCAGAGAAAUAAACAUUACUGAAACAACCAAAAUCAUGAACAUGAAACUAGACUGGACACUGGAACCUAAACAUAGAGAACCCAUAGGAACAGGACUAAGCGCAUGAACAACUGCCAAACACAGCACAGGGAGGACAUGAACAUCAACUGCCAAACACAGCACAGGGAAAACACAGGGCUUAAAUACACACUGGGAUAACGAGGGCAUGAGACACAGAAGGGGAGCACAGCUGGGAGUAAUCUGACAUGACGAGAGCAAGGGAAGCAAAACUCAAUACACUGACAUAAGACAACGACUUUCAAAGUAAAACAGGAAACAAAACAGAUGCCGACAUAAUUUAGGGAUACAGCAACCAUAGAACACAGAACAGAAAUAAAAAAGACUAGAAAAGAUAAGCGAUGACAAAAAUUCAAUAAUGAUACAAAACUGAAAACAUUGGGUCACCAACCCAGGACCGUGACAGGAUCGCC